UACGGGGGGGGCAAGCGUUGUUCGGAAUUACUGGGCGUAAAGGGCUCGUAGGUGGCCAACUAAGUCAGACGUGAAAUCCCUCGGCUUAACCGGGGAACUGCAUCUGAUACUGGAUGGCUUGAGUUCGGGAGAGGGAUGCGGAAUUCCAGGUGUAGCGGUGAAAUGCGUAGAUAUCUGGAGGAACACCGGUGGCGAAGGCGGAUCUCUGGGCCAUACUGACGCUGAGGAGCGAAAGCGUGGGGAGCGAACAGG
rnacentral:rRNA from 1 species